UGCUGGGUCUUCCAGGAGCGCGCUUGAGCGGACGCUGCCUACCGGUGGCCGGGCGGGAUGUAACCCGCUGCUGAGCUGGCAGCUCUGUGUCGCUAGGCUUCGGCCCGGCCGCCGCCGCACAUAAGCUGCGAGGAGGAGCUUUACGACUUCCCGGUCUUCGGGGCCGGGCGCAGCAAGGGCCAGACUCUGCGCUAGCAGGCGCUGCGCGCCAACCGGCCGGCACCUGUCGCAGAAGGUGCAACCGAUCGCACUGUCGCGCCGAAGCUCCUCAAUGGCCAGCGCCAGCUGCAGCCCCGGCCGCCCACUCGCCUCACCUGAGCCUGGGCGAAUCUGGAUUGGGAAAGUUGACAUUAAUCAACUCAUUAUUCCUCCCAGAUUUGUAUUCUCCAGAGUAUCCGGGUCCUUCUCAGAGAAUUAAAAAGCCUGUACAGGUCUAGAUAUUGGUAUUUUUAAUUGAUGAUAAGCUGGAAUAAUAUUAAUACACACAAAGCACGUGUUGUAACUUUUAUUAUGCUUCCUUAGAGGAGCUUGAAAAAUCACAUUUGAGAAGAGGAUUGGAUCCUAGCCAUAACAUAAAUAUAAGGGUGGAACCAAAGUUUUAAUCAAAGAAGGUGGUGUUCAGUUGCUGCUUACAAUAGUUGAUACCCCAGGAUUUGGAGAUGCAGUGGAUAACAGUAAUUGCUGGCAGCCUGUUAUCAAUUACAUUGAUAUUAAAUUUGAGGACUACCUAAAUGCAGAAUCGCGAGUGAACAGAUGUCAGAUGCCUGGUAACAGGGUGCAGUGUUGUUUAUACUUCAUUGCUCCUUCAGGACAUGGACCAUUACAUAACUGAAGACUCCCACCUUCAGGCAGGAUUGGGUAGUACGUGUUUGUAACUACCUGGCAUUGCCUUUUGUUGAGGAAGGGUAGAUGUCUACCCAAAUGGAAUAUUGAGUAUCAGAGACUUCAAAUGAUAACUUUUGUUUGUUUGGAGAAAAUCUUGAGGACGUGAUCACUGUACAAAAGCAUGGCAAAAUGAGGAAACCACUGACAGGUGAAGAAUUUGCACAAUGGAAAACCACCUUGACCAUCUCAUGACUUUAUACAGGAAUCGGAGACAUCCAAGGCCAUUCCAUUUCUAAAUCACACUUAUCCCUCAAUCAAGUCAGUGACUGGAUCAUCUCCUAAGGUUUCACCUGCUUUGCAUCAGGGCAGGGUUCCACUCCCAUUGCCCAGGCUGGAGUGCAGUGGCGUGAUCUUGGCUCACUGCAACCCCCUCCUCCCCUAUUCAAGCAAUUCUUCUGCCUCAGUCUUCUAAGUGGCUGGGACUACAAGCGCGUGCCACCACACCCGCGCUUAUAAUAGAAAAUAAUUUUUCUGUUUUUUUGUAGGGAUGGGGUUUCACCAUGUUGGCCAGGCUGGCCUCGAACUCCUGAGCUCAAGUGAUCAACCUGCCUCUGCCUCCCAAAGUGCUGGGAUUACAGGUGUAAGCCACCAUGCCCGGCCUCUGAUUUUUCUAUAGUGAGAACAUAACUAUUUCUGUAAUAAUAUUAAAAAUACUUGUCAGUAUCACAUAGAAUUUUCAACAGCAGAUUCAAAUAAAAUGAAUCCUUGUGUGUGUGUAUAUA
rnacentral:lncRNA from 1 species